CAAGGCGUUCACACGAGACGCAGCCAGUAACAACGCGGCCUUUUCUGCUCAAACCGCUUCUUAUCGCUUUCAUUUUCCGGCAGCACGCGGCCAGGGACGUGUGAUGUGACUUUUAGAUCAGGUGGGCCAGUCAGACGCCUGCGAGUCUGCCUGCCGCUCGAGGACGCAGUUAGCCACACGGCCUAAGGAUGGGCAGGCCUGAACCGCGCGGGCGAGCAGCGCGGUGGGCCCACGCACGGGAAUCACGGCUGGCGUGCUAUUUUGGCAUGAGCGCCGCCUCAUGCUUCACCUCACAGGCCUAUGCCAGCGCCGAGCUCCCUGCAGAGCGUGGAUCCGGGUUUAAAUUGUAACAACCCGUCUGACUAAACAUGAGAUAGGAAGCACCAGAGAGUUAGGCUAUGGAAGGCGCCGAACUACCCAGGACCACAGCCAUCCAGGCAGGUGGGAAGCAUGAGAAAUCUGUAUCUGAAGGCCACAUAUUUAGUGCAUCACUGAGUGGAAGCUGAACCUUGAAGAACAGACCCGCUGCGGCAUUAUCCAGAGGCGAUUUUUUUUUCCAGGUGUCUGAGCCAUCUGUGAUAAAUCUGUGUAUCUUCAGCAGCCUGUUUCAAAACACUCAGGUGACAUUGCCAAGGUGAC